rnacentral:rRNA from 1 species
GAUCCUGGCUCAGAAUCAACGCUGGCGGCGUGCCUAACACAUGCAAGUCGAACGAGAAAGGGUAGCAAUACCUGAGUAAAGUGGCGCACGGGUGAGUAACACGUGACUAACCUACCCUGGAGUGGGGAAUAACUGAGGGAAACCUUAGCUAAUACCGCAUAAUACCUACGGGUCAAAGGAGCAAUUCGCUUCAGGAGGGGGUCGCGGCCGAUUAGUUAGUUGGCGGGGUAAUGGCCCACCAAGACAGUGAUCGGUAUCCGGCCUGAGAGGGCGCACGGACACACUGGAACUGAAACACGGUCCAGACUCCUACGGGAGGCAGCAG